CAGCACUACUCUUCUGCUUAAUCAAGGUGGUUCCGAUAAGAGCACAAACUUUCUCGCUUUUAUUCCCACAGGUGCCGGCCGGCACCGCAGCAGCGUUCACCGCUGUGCGGCUCCUUUCAACACAGCCGGGCGGGCGUGGGUGCAAACAGCUUCCCGUUAGCCGCAAGAAACCGGUGCGAGCCCAAAGUCCCCGUGGAAGUCGGGCAGCGCUCACGGCGGGUGUGUGUGUGUGUGCUGCAGCUCCCCGUAGCUUCUCUUCGAUCAGCCGGGGGCGAAGAGCCGCGCUCGGAAGCGCUCCCGCCCGCUCCCCGGAGCUUUACCGGUUUCGAAAAGCCCGCGCUGCGCAGAGAUUGGCCGCGAUUCUCGGGCUUUUCUUGUGUACAGCAGUUUUCGGGUUAAACAGCCGCCCCACUUUUUUUUUUUUUCCACUCGGCGGAAGAGGUUUAUGAACUUCCUGGGUACGUGCUCGCUGCCCCUCCCGUGGGCUUUUUCACUCCCAGUCCACUUCUGUCCCCUGCAAACUCGUCCCUUCCCUGGAAAUCGGAGGACAAGCGGGAUCCGACAGGACACGGGUAUUUCGAGGAGCCUUGCGAGAAGUCCUUGGUGCUGCCCGCCGGUCCUUGGCCAGGUGCCGGGGGCUCAUUUUGGCAACGGAGACGCUGGGAGCGCUGAGCCCAAAAAGGCAAAACCCAGUUACAGUAGCAUGGGCAAAACUGUAUCACACAUAUCCAUGCUAAUUGAAUUGACCUCGGUGGGAUGGCCCUGGAAUAAACAUUUCAGCCCCUGGAAUGAGUCGGAGUGAUGACGGCAGUUCACUCUUGGCCUGUUGCAACUUACCCUCCCUGCUCGCUUGGAGAAGGCAUCAGGGCGCUUCUUUCCCUUUUCUGAGAGGUAAGGGGGAAAACUCAAAUUAUUGUAACUGUUUUUUAAAAAAAUUCAGUUGGAGCAGUUACCUACCUUGGCUACUGCAGUAGUUGAGAUUUAGAAAAUCAGUGCAUUACUGAACACAAGUGGUGAUGGAGAGCACUGGCCUAUGUACAAUAAUACCAGUCUAAAAUACCGUUACAAGCAAAGAGUACAUAGCUGUGGCUUCAGCUGAAUGGACUUUAUAGUCCUUAGCUGGAGAUAGCUGCCAAAUAAUGUAAGAGAUCGUUCUACACUACAAACAAGAAGUGUAUGUGUAUGCAGUAACACUGAACGGACUCUGUACAGGCUCUAGUGGAUAUAUUGUCCAGUACAGCAAAAAAAUUAACAUCAAACCAAAAAAUCCCACUAAACUUGUAAAGCUGAGCUGGGUAGCCUAGCAUAGAUACCCACUGGAUAAUUUUUUUCCCAACUGGAAAAAGUGAGUACAGUGACAAAGAACAAGAGUGCUCUGAGAAAAAUCAGCUUUCAGGGACAAAUGUAAUGUCAUGUCUAUGCCAAUUGCACACUGGCGUAUCAGUCAGUACCCCUAAUUCAUUGUUUCUCAUCCUUCUUCCCCCUUAGCCUGUGCACUGCUAGCCCUGUGGAUGCCAGCUCAUCUCAGUUGAGCAUGCACAACUCCACACUGAUUAUCCCUCAGAAAUAGCUUAUCUUGAAUUACUGAGUCACUGCCACAGUGUUCGAUCACUGUGUGUCCCUCAGGGCCCCACAUCAUCUUCAACAGGCCACUUUCCAGCUUCCUAGGAGCAGUUUCCUAUUCUGGUCAUAAGAGAAGUUGAUAUCCUAAGGAAAAAUCAGGGGAUACUACUCUGCUGUCAUGGUUCAAAUUUCUAGCUAACGUGCUGAGCUGAGGUUGAAGCGUGUGAUUUAUGAUUGCAGUGGAGAGGGAACAUAUCUCACUCUUGUAUGACAUCCUUUUUGGAUAUCUAGGCAUUAAUUUCUUUCCCAGGACAUCUCCAUGGCCAUGCAGCUUCUAUUUACUGAACUUUUUAUAUAGGCUAUUUCAUGUCCCUAGCUUGUUCCAUAUUUGCAAACUGCUCAGACUAAUGCAUAUUCUAAGAUGAACAGCAGAUUUCUUAAAUUUCUACAACGCCCUCACUGCAUGGACAUUUUCCCACCCUACAGACUCUAAGGAACAUGAAUACCACUGCCUGGAACACAGGUAAUACGGUAAGCAGAGCUUUAAGAUCUCAGGCACAAAACACAUUUUGUCGUAUGUGAAUAGUUCUGACCUGGGAACUGAAUUGGAAUCAGGCUGAACAGUAAUUCUGUGUAAUGAUUUGAUGUGGAGAACUGAGCUGCUGGUGGUCAAAGAGGAGGUGGCUUAACAGGAGGCAAAAAAAAGGUGGUGUUUAGUGAGUGGCUAUGCUUUGACAGAAUACACAAGUAUCCACUUUAUGAUUUUAAAUGCUAAGCUGCUCAAAAAUUUGGAGGAAGGUAAAAAAAAAUGGGUUCAGAAUUGGAAAUUAUAACAAGGAAGACCUGCCUUCAUUUGUUUUUUCUUCCAUAGGGUCAACUUUUUAUUUCACAGAUUUACUUAUUUAGUAAAGUAAAUAAAUAUCAAAAGUCUGUGAUGUUCCAGCACUAGAAGUAGAAAUGGAGAGAGAAAAUAAUGGCAAAUGAAUCCAUGAGUGAGAUAAAGGUCUACAUAUAGCAGAACAGACUCUCAGCAACCUGACAAGAAUUCUGUUGAAGUAAAGUUACUCCCUCACAGAACAAUAAAUCACUGUGUACUGAUGAACACUUUUGUAUAAUGGGGUUACAGAAUUUUUCAUCGGCGUUAGUCACCACAAAGCCAGAUUGCCUGUCAGAUUACCACAAAACCAGGUAAUUUCUGUAUAUAUAUUUCUUUACCUCUUUGUUCUCUGGUAGUGGGUUCUGUUACUCCUGUGCUUUUUGUGUGUGUCUGUCUUUUACUGUAAUUGUUGUCAUGUGAGAGUAAGAGUUUAUUCUGCAUAGCCUCAGUAUGUCUUUGAAAAACAAUAAAGAGGUCUCUCUUAAAGGCUCACUUCAUAAAAACAUCAAAGCUGGAGUUUUAUUUCAAGUGAAACUAUUCCACUACUAUUAUAAAAAAAUCUUCUGCAUUUGUUACAGAAAAUUGGAAGCUGGUCUUCAAUAAAAGGCUGAACGAUGUUAGUUCAGGCGCAAAGAUGUUUAAAAUAAGGAUAUGCUGUUGUUGCAUAUCCUCGGUAGUAGUGAGCACCCUAAGCUGAAUAAAGCAAAGAAAAAGCCCUUCAUAGUAUCCUGGGCUGAAUAAACGGAGAGAUGUAAAUAUCUACAUUUUAAGACUAAGUUUACAGGUCCUCAAAAGGAAGGAGCUGAGUGGGGAGACAGCUGUAGUGUAUGGACAGGAAGGUUGGGACAGCUGGUGUGGAGUCCCCAAAACUAAGAGUGUGAUAUGAAUAUCAUUAACACCAGACCUGUUGUCAGCUGCUUGCAUGGCAGUAUAGAUUUGGGCCAGCUUGGGUUCGGGUACAGAAUUUCACCUAGACACAUUUGACUUAGCAAGGUUACACAGUAGAGCUUUUCUGCCACAAGUUUCUUUUUUAUGACCUAGUUUACAAUGCACCCAGUCCGGUGCUGGGCACUGGGGAAUACCAGCCACAUUUCUCUGUGGGGAUUUGAGAUCCCUCUUCUCCAGAAUAUGAAUUUCUGUCAUUGUCCUGGUUUCGGCUGGGAUAGAGUUAAUUUUCUUUCUAGUAGCUGGGAUAGUGUUAUGCUUUGGGUUCAGUAUAAGAAGAAUGUUGAUAACACACUGAUGUUUUCAGUUGUUGCUAAGUAGUGUUUAGACUAAGUCAAGGAUUUUUCAACUUCUGCCCAGCCAGCAAGAAGGCUGGAGGGGCACAAGAAGUUGGGAGGGGACACAGCCAGGACAGCUGACCCAAAGUGGCCAAAGGGGUAUUCCAUACCAUGUGACGUCAUGCCCAGUAUAUAAACUGGGGGGAGUUGGCCUGGGGGGGUGGAUCGCUGCUCGGGGACUAACUGGGCAUUGGUUGGCAAGUGAUGAGCAAUUGCAUUGUGCAUCACUUGUUUUGUAUAUUCCAAUGCUUUUAUUAUUAUUGUCAUUAUUAUCAUUAUUAGUUUCUCCCUCUCUGUUCUAUU